rnacentral:lncRNA from 1 species
GCCACGCCCAGGCGCAGCUCUGCUACGCCCAGGCGCAGAUCCUGCGAUUUUGAAGUCUAUAUAUGCCCAAAAGUCAUAUUUUAUUAGGGCUCAGAGAUUUUUACAUAGAAUUGAGAGAAACACUUUGCUAGGGUUUGAGAGGAGCCGCCGUUCAACAACAAUCAUUGGAGUUGAAGCUUCUCAACAUCGAUCUUAUGUGUAAUUCUUUCACUUUUCUUGAUUCUUUGUAAUUCUUCAUGAGUAACUAAAUUCUCUAUUGUUAGGGAUGAGUUGAAUUUGGAUGAAAACUCUAUGUUAUGAUUUGAUACUAUUUAUUUG